rnacentral:rRNA from 1 species
AUUGAACGCUGGCGGCAUGCCUUACACAUGCAAGUCGAACGGUAACGGGCCUUCGGGUGCCGACGAGUGGCGAACGGGUGAGUAAUGUAUCGGAACGUACCUUUCAGUGGGGGAUAACGUAGCGAAAGUUACGCUAAUACCGCAUAUUCUAUGCGCAGGAAAGCAGGGGAUCGCAAGAGCUUGCGCUGAUUGACGGGACGAUAGCAGAUUAGCUAGUUGGUGGGGUAAAGGCUCACCAAGGCGACGAUCUGUAGCGGGUCUGAGAGGAUGAUCCGCCACACUGGAACUGAGACACGGUCCAGACUCCUACGGGAGGCAGCAGUGGGGAAUUUUGGACAAUGGGGGCAACCCUGAUCCAGCCAUGCCGCGUGAGCGAAGAAGGCCUUCGGGUUGUAAAGCUCUUUCGGCCGGGAAGAAAUCGUAUCAGCUAAUACCUGGUGCGGAUGACGGUACCGGCAUAAGAAGCACCGGCUAACUACGUGCCAGCAGCCGCCGUAACAC